UUUAUACAAAGAAUUGAAACCGUGCAGCUUUAAGAAACAGUCUCUCUCUCGAAUCCAGCAUAAGAAUGAGAUUAGGGUGAGCGAUGAGCGAUGACCGUUAGAAGAGAAGAGAGUGAGCGUAUCAAGGAACUGAUUAAAGUAAUUUCAGUCACCAAAAAUUGAUUAUCGGAGGAUGAAAAUGAUUAUGUUGGAGGGUUAGGGUUUGGGUUUCAAGCAUCCAUUCAGGAUAGAUGUUUUGGACAACAACUCAUCUUCAAGGGUUUUCAAUCGAUUAUCGGAAGAUGAAAAUGAUUGAAAACGCUUGAAGAUGAGUUGUUGUCCACAGCAUCUAUCCCAUAAUGGAUGCUUGAAACCCAAAACCUAACCCUUCAACAUAAUCAUUUUCAUAUUCGGAUAAUCGAUUUCGGUGACUGAGAUUAUUUAAUCAGUUCCUUAAUACGCUCACUGCAUAGAACACAUACUGUGCGUAGGGCAAUGAAUGAGAUCAAUGCAGGCUGCUACUUGCUAGUGAAUUCAAAGGAGAAGCUGAUAAGGUGCUUAUUGUUAAAAAGGCAGAAGCAGAAGCCGAAUCAAUGUUUUUAGGCGGAGUUGGUGUGGCAAGGCAGAGGCAAGCUAUCACAGAUGGUGAUGGGAGAAUAUGGAUAUAGCAUAGAAUACAUACUGAUGGUGGAUAUUAUACCUGAUCCUUCUGUGCAGAGAGCAAUGAAUGAGAUCAAUGCAGGUAAUAAUACUUUGUGGUUUUUAGACUCUGUUUCUCAUCUUCCUAUGGCCAUAUCAAGCAGUAAAAUGCAUGUAUGCAGUAUACUCAAUCACAAAAUUUAAGUAUUGGGUUCUGAAAGAUUACUCUGCAUGUAUGCAGUAUACUCACUUUGUGCGCAUUCGCCCCUGCACAUGUGUUUAUCCCAUCUCUUUAGUGUUGUUAAAUAAUGUCUAUCAGCAUAGAGAAAUAUGAACUAAAUGCUCUUGCUCUGCAAUACACUAAUUAGUACAAAUGUUGUCAAAUAGAAACUAUAGUGACACAAUAACACUGUUGCAUAGUGGAACAUGAACAAACCACUAUUUUCCGUGAUCUGUGAUUAACAACACUGCAUCUGCUUGUCCAUAUAGGCAACCCAUGUAUGUUUGUUUAUUGCAUUUGUAUGCCCUUUAUGCAGUUUGACUAAGAGAAAUGAUUUUUUCAGAUAAAAAUUUUAAUGUCAAACACUGUCAUUUGGUUUUUGUGUGUAUUUUUUAAAUGUGUGUAUGUUGUAAAAGAUAAAAAGUAAGAGAGAGAUAGAGAUGAACAAAUGGUGUCACACGGUGUGUGUAUUUCUUUGUAGCAUCGACACUUUGGAUCGAAGGCAUGUCCGGUGUCCGACAUGUGUCAUCGUCUGACACGAGACCGGCACAUGUAUUUACACUGAACUAUGUUAUUUUUUCUCAUGUCAAUGAAUGAAUGUUAAAAUCAAAAAAUGAGUAAGUCAAUCAUCCUACUUUUUAGCUUCCAAUCUCUAUAUAUCUACUUUUUUUUCUCUCUAAAAUUGAGUUGCUUGCCCUCAUUUUGCUGAGCUUAGGGUUUCAAUGCCAUAUCUUGAUCCGCCUGCAAGAUUCAAUGCCAGAAAUGAUGAUAUGAAAAUAUGAAUAAUGCAGAAAAACUAUUGCUUCCAUGUUUGAUAAGGUGUCAACUUCUUGUCAUAUGGAUAUAUGCUGCUCACCAACCUAUAAUUAACAAAAAGAAAAUCAAAUGACUGACCUUGUGCUUAUGAAGCACGGACACCUGGCACGACACUGUCACGUCGACACCGAUAAAAUUUUGAAAAAUUAACAUAAUCUAAGGUAAUCACAAGUGUCAGUGUAGUGUCAUGUCAGACACAGGACACACUUUCAAUCAGAAGUGUUGGUGCAACAGAACCCUGUGCAGAUCUAUCGUGAACACGGAUCCUCUCUAUCUUUGCAUCUAAAUAUCGGCUAUUAGAUCAAGGAAUAAUCCAAAUUUUACGGCAGAUAGUUGGCUGUACCAGUAGAGGAUCUGAGUUGAUGUAUUGCAAGUAUUAACCUUACAGAAAAGCUGUUAGCAUAGAAUCCAGAUUAAAGUUGAAAUAUUUUGGAAAAAUAAGACGUUUGAUGAUGGUAAAGAAGAGCUGCACAUUUAUUUUUCCACAACAAUUAUACAUUACUAGUUCAAGCAUGUAGGACACUUUUUUCACAAACUAAAACUAAAUAUGAUAACUUCAAUCAAAUUAUAGAGAAAAAUUCUAAGCAAAUUAUUGCAAUAAGUGAUAUUAUUACAAUGAAAUCAUAGUCAAGUACAUAAGUUUUCAUGAUUGACGGUUUACUUGGUAAAUGAUAAAGGAAAAAUUAUGAAAGACAUUAAGCAUAGAGUAAUAUUACAAGCAUUCCCCAAAUCGCGACAUCCAGAGCCCGGACCGACUAAGUAAAUCCACCAUAACCUAGUUUUCAUAAAUUUUUCAAUACUUCUCCAUGGCCUAUCAGAAACAACACCCUUAGAACUUGAAAAGAAAGAAAUUGUUUUUAUCAAGCCACUGAUCACGGUUUCUCCUUGUACUUUUUCUGUCUAUACUGGAUUGUAAAGACAUUAAUAAUAACCUUUGUCAAACUGUUACAUGUUUACCGUGUUCGUGUUUACCGACGAUCUUCAUUGGAGAAUCAUGAUUCGGGUUUCAACUUCUGUGUUAUUUUUUACAAUUAACACAAAGCCUUUGAGAGUACUUCUGUGUUGUUUCAGUGAGGAUUGUCGGUAUACAUGAACAGUUUGACAAAAGUUAUUGUUAAUAUCUUUACGAUCUAGUAUAGACAAAGAAAUAGUACGAGGAGAAAGGUGAUCAAUGGUUUGAAAAAACAAUUUCUUUCUUUUUCAAGUUUAAAAGUGUUGUUUUCUGUCAAGCCUAGAGAAAUAUUAAGAGAUUUAAAAAAAAAACAAAGUUAUGUUUCACAUGCAAACUUUUGGAGUUCAGAAAUGGUUACAACAAGAUCAGCUUAAAAUCUCAGAUUUGAAGUAUCAUGAAGUGGGUUUGCAAGGUUGUAGUGAAGCAGUGAAGAAGUUGAAUGCUUUCUGCUAGACAAGAGAAGUUCAAAAUAGGGAAGAUGAGAAAGAAACUAGUGAUAAGAAUCCAAGUGAUAACUUUGAGAAAGUGAUAACAUAGGCAUGCAUUCAUGAUUUUAUUGAAUCAGUUCAUGCUUUUUGAGUAAUAAAUAUUGAUUCAGAGGAGUAUGUGAUUAAACUUGCUGUGAAUCUGGUUAAAAAGAUCUCCAAAGAAACUAAAUGGCCAUAUAUCAAGACCGUUCUCUUUAAUGUUUUGUUUUUCUCAAUAUACUAUCAAAGUUUCAUGAUUGAUAAUUUACUUGAGAUGUAAUGGUUCACUUAAAUUAUGAGAAAUGCUCUGAUAUCAAGGUAGUUUAACAGAAAAAUUAGUGCAGAUAAGCAAUGGCAUGUGCUGGUGGUAACAUAGA